CUCUGACCUACUAAUAUUUAUUAUAAAGCUAAUGUUGUUUUGUGUCAUGUUUAUUCUUGAUUCUUAUGUUUUAUUUAUAGUUUUGUUUUAGGUCUGCUCAUUGUCUUGUUAAUUAGUUGUAUUAAGUUCACCUGUUCCCUCUGCCUUCCUGCCUCCUUGCCUCACCUGUCCUUAGUUCCUUUGAUUACCUGCCUUUGUUCUCUCUCUGCAUAUUAGUUGGUUUGUUUCAUUAUGUUUUGGUGGGUUCCUUGUGUUACAACUCCUCUACCCUCGUCCAUGCCAAGUGUUUCCAUGUUCCUGCGGAGUCGGUUUUGUUAGCGUUUGGAUCUCGACCCUGAUGGUGUCUCGAAUCAGUACGAGGCUGUCGGUGAUCUUCCUGCCUUCAAUGGCACAGGCUUGAUCCGGGUGGAGGAUUUCUUUUAAAACCAAACGCAUACGUAUGGCUAAAGGUUUGCUAAAAAGUUUGCAGUCGUAGUUUAAAAGGGUAAUGGGUCUCCAGUUUCUCAAGUCAGUCUUGUCUUUAUCUUUAUAGAUAAGAGUCACUAUCCCUUCUCUAAAACUGUCUGGGAGUCUGUCCAGUUGGCUAAAAUCUGUAAAAACAACAAGUAAGUCAGGUGCUAAAAUGUCCCAAAAAGUCAAGUAAAACUCUAGAGGGAGUCCAUCUGAUCCUGGGGACUUCCCUCUCUUAAAACUUUUAAGACAUUUAUCGAGCUCUAAACUGGUAAAAUCCUGACCUAAAAGCAUGCCAUCUUUGACAGUUUUUUCGAUAAAACUUAAGGUUUCUGUGAUGUUCUCCAUGGAUACAGCUUUUUCUUUAUAUAAUUUGCAAUAAAAAUCUUCUACUGUUUCA